GGCCCACCAAGCCGACGAUCAGUAGCCGACCUGAGAGGGUGACCGGGCCACAUUGGGACUGAGACACGGCCCAGACUCCUACGGGAGGCAGCAGUGGGGAAUAUUGCACAAUGGGCGAAAGCGUGAUGCAGCGACGCCGCGUGAAGGAUGAAGUAUUUCGGUAUGUAAACUUCUAUCAGCAGGGAAGACACCCCCACGGUACCUGACUAAGAAGCCCCGGCUAACUACGUGCCAGCAGCCGCGGUAAUACGUAGGGGGCAAGCGUUAUCCGGAUUUACUGGGUGUAAAGGGAGCGUAGACGGAUUAGCAAGUCUGAUGUGAAAGGCAGGGGCUCAACCCCUGGACUGCAUUGGAAACUGCCAGUCUUGAGUGCCGGAGAGGUAAGCGGAAUUCCUAGUGUAGCGGUGAAAUGCGUAGAUAUUAGGAGGAACACCAGUGGCGAAGGCGGCCAACUGGGCUUUUACUGACGCUGAGGCUCGAAAGUGUGGGGAGCAAACAGGAUUAGAUACCCUGGUAGUCCACACCGUAAACGACGAUUACUAGGUGUGGGGGGACUGACCCCUUCCGUGCCGGAGUUAACACAAUAAGUAAUCCACCUGGGGAGUACGGC
rnacentral:rRNA from 1 species